ensembl:lincRNA Tbx3os2 T-box 3, opposite strand 2
GCAGUUGUCGGUUGCCGGGUCCUGUUUUAACCUGAAGAAAUCGAGAAGCGCCAGGAGGGUGCCGCUCCCAUUCCAGUCAUCUCCAAAGUGGUCCUGUUUAAAGACAGAGCAAAGGACCUGUAUCCUCAUCAUCUGGAGAGGCAGACACCUACCUACACUUUAUGACCUGCCUUCAAGAAAAUCCUGGGGGCAGGCUCGGAGUGGAAGAGAGGGCCUCAACCUCCAAGUCUUCACCUGGAGAGAAAGAAGUCCUGAUUCCAAAUCAAAGCCCUACUUUGACAAUUGCACCAUGGGAUUCACACCAAAAUUACAAUCCUGACCUCUGAAGAAUGGAAGCAGCCGAUCCCCAAGCCGACCCACAAUUUCUCUGUAUCCGGGACUGCAGUUUAAGCCGAGCUAUUUUCUCCUCAAUUUGGGAGCUCGCGCAGCCGGAGGCCAUGAGCCAACUACCACCUUCCCAGGGCGGACUGUGAAGAAGAGUUUUGGUCCCGAAGAGGACCGGCCUUUCCCGUCCCCAUGUCCCCUUAAGCACUCUCCAGUCCCCUCUCUCCCGUUGUUUUCUCCUCCUCCCUAGACAGCUGGGGAGAAGCAGUGCGGGUCCCCACGUGCCUGGGCUAGAAAAGGGGGGCUUGCCCACCCCUCCAAGGUCUAGAGCUGGAUCCUCUUCCAAACACAGGAGGGGAGAGGAGGGGCCCCCCUCAUGACUCUCCAUUCAAGAGGUGACAGGGACGUUGGGCCCGGCUGGCGGGCUCCGGGAUGGGGGUUGGGGGCAAGUCAGCCGCCUGGCGGGCUCCAGCUGGGUCUUUGAGUCAAGGCCCCCAGGGCAAGAAAGUCCUAAGGGCUAACUCUAGAGUACCUUCCCUUGUAACCCCUCUCCAACACAACACACACACACACACACACACACACACACACACACACACACGCCCCCGAGAGGAUCCUGGAGGGUGGGGAGACUGAAGAAUGACAGGACAGGACAGAGGCUUCACUGAUUGAUUAAUUGAUUGAUUGAUAUAUGUAUAUAUUUGAAAGAUUCAAAGAUAAAUUGAACUUCAAAAAGAUAGGUUGCCUAACUGACUCGGGACUGGUUAGGGAAAUGAGAUGGUAGCUUCCCCGGUGCCUUUUGCCUUGGGUGUUCCAUGUGGACUCCGAAAGCACCUUGCCUCUCUCUCAUGGUCACUGUGGAGCCCACUCCUGGGCCUUACCCACAGCCCUGAAUGUCCAUGGAUAAGGGAGUCUGCUUGGCCUUUUCCUGUGCUAGAUUCCGUGGGUGUAGCGGACCUUAUUUAUUUUGUUUUGUGAUCCAUGUCAGAAAAGGGAAAAACGAAUUAAAAGCGAAAACCCCUCCU